rnacentral:tRNA from 1 species
CAGAAAAUAGUUUAAAGUGAAAAAUGUUGAUUUUGGGGAUCAAUGAUAGAAGUUUUCUUUUUCUGA